UACAGAGGUCCCGAGCGUUGUUCGGAUUCAUUGGGCGUAAAGGGUGCGUAGGCGGCGGGGUAAGUUUGAUGUGAAAUCCCGGGGCUCAACCCUGGAAUUGCAUUGAAUACUACCUUGCUAGAGUACCGGAGAGGAAACUGGAAUUUACGGUGUAGCAGUGAAAUGCGUAGAGAUCGUAAGGAAGACCAGUGGCGAAGGCGAGUUUCUGGACGGUA
rnacentral:rRNA from 1 species